CAUGGAGGGUGUUGAAGAGAAGAAGGUGGUUCCUGCUGUGCCAGAAACCCUUAAGAAAAAGCAAAGGAAUUUCACAGAGCUGAAGAUCAAGCUCCUGAGAAAGAAGUCUGCCCAAAACAUGCUUUGAAAGGCAAGGAAGAAGCUUAUUUAUGAAAAAGCAAAGCACUAUCACAAGGAAUAUAGGCAGAUGUACAGAACUGAAAUUCGAAUGGCAAGGAUGGCAAGAAAAGCUGGCAACUUCUGUGUACCUGCAGAACCCAAAUUGGCCUUUGUCAUCAGGACCAGAGGUAUCAAUGGUGUGAGCCCAGAGGUCUGAAAGGUGUUGCAGCUUCUUCGCCUUUAUCAAAUCUUCAGUGGAACCUUUGUGAAGCUCAACAAGGCUUCAAUUAACAUGCUGAGGAUUGUAGAGCCAUAUAUUACAUGGGGGAACCCAAAUCUGAAGUCAGUAAAUGAACUAAUCUACAAGCAUAGUUAUGGCAAAAUCAAUAAGCAAAUUGCUUUGACAGAUAACGCUUUGAUUGCUCUAUCUCUUGGUAAAUAUGGCAUCAUCUGCAUGGAGGAUCUGAUUCAUGAGAUCUAAACUAUUGGAAAAUGCUUCAAGGAAGCAAAUAACUUCCUGUGGCCCUUCAAAUUAUCUUCUCCAUGAGGCGGAAUGAAG
rnacentral:lncRNA from 1 species